GAUGAACGCUGGCGGCGUGCCUAAUACAUGCAAGUCGAGCGAACGGACGAGAAGCUUGCUUCUCUGAUGUUAGCGGCGGACGGGUGAGUAACACGUGGAUAACCUACCUAUAAGACUGGGAUAACUUCGGGAAACCGGAGCUAAUACCGGAUAAUAUUUUGAACCGCAUGGUUCAAAAGUGAAAGACGGUCUUGCUGUCACUUAUAGAUGGAUCCGCGCUGCAUUAGCUAGUUGGUAAGGUAACGGCUUACCAAGGCAACGAUGCAUAGCCGACCUGAGAGGGUGAUCGGCCACACUGGCACUGAGACACGGUCCAGACUCCUACGGGAGGCAGCAGUAGGGAAUCUUCCGCAAUGGGCGAAAGCCUGACGGAGCAACGCCGCGUGAGUGAUGAAGGUCUUCGGAUCGUAAAACUCUGUUAUUAGGGAAGAACAUAUGUGUAAGUAACUGUGCACAUCUUGACGGUACCUAAUCAGAAAGCCACGGCUAACUACGUG
rnacentral:rRNA from 1 species